rnacentral:rRNA from 1 species
CGUGUAGGCGGCUGAGCAAGUCAGAUGUGAAAUCCCUGGGCUUAACCCAGGAAGUGCAUUUGAAACUGUUCAGCUUGAGUAGGGAAGAGGGAAGUGGAAUUCCUGGUGUAGAGGUGAAAUUCGUAGAUAUCAGGAGGAACACCGGUGGCGAAGGCGACUUCCUGGUCCUAUACUGACGCUGAGACGCGAGAGCGUGGGGAGCAAACAG